UACGACUACAUAUCAGGCAUAUCAAUAAGCGGAGGAAAAGAAACUAACUAGGAUUCCCUUCAGUAACGGCGAGUGAAGCGGGAAGAGCUCAAAUUUGAAAUCUUCAAGGUUUUACCUUGACGAAUUGUAGUUUAAAGAAGUGUUUUCUGUUGGUGUUUUGGUAAAAGUUCUUUGGAAUAGGACAUCAUAGAGGGUGAGAAUCCCGUAUUUGACCAUUACUUCCAGCGUUGUGAUACACUUUCAAAGAGUCGGAUUGUUUGGGAAUGCAGUCCAAGAUGGGUGGUAAAUUUCAUCUAAAGCUAAAUAUUGGCGAGAGACCGAUAGCGAACAAGUACCGUGAGGGAAAGAUGAAAAGAACUUUGAAAAGAGAGUUAAACAGUACGUGAAAUUGUCAAAAGGGAAGCGUUUGACACCAGUGUUGUUUAGUUGAAAAUCAAUUAAAUAUUUUUCGAUUUUAAGUAGUAUUGACCUUAUCAGCUUGCUGCUUUUUUCUCGGAAAUUAUUUAAUGCACUUUUCAGUUAACAAGUCAACAUCAAUUUCUUUUGUUGUAAAAAGGUAAGAGGAAGGUGGCUUGCGCUUCGGCUCAAGUGUUUAUAGCCUUUUACUUCUGCAAUCGGAGAGAUUGAGGUCUGCAGCGUAGAUCCUUCGGGGUUAGAUACAUUUGUGCUAAGCUAUAGCCUUGUAUAGACAACUUGUUGACUAUGCUCAGUCAUGUAGCUUACUCGCUUAUGCUAUUUUACCUACGCUUAGGAUGUUGAAUCUGUGCGAGACUA
rnacentral:rRNA from 1 species